rnacentral:rRNA from 1 species
GAUCAUGGCUCAGGAUGAACGCUAGCGACAGGCCUAACACAUGCAAGUCGAGGGGCAGCGGAGAGGUAGCAAUACCUUUGCCGGCGACCGGCGCACGGGUGAGUAACACGUAUGCAAUCCACCUGUAACAGGGGGGAUAACCCGGAGAAAUCCGGACUAAUACCCCAUAAUAUGGGCGCUCCGCAUGGAGAGUCCAUUAAAGAGAGCAAUCUUGGUUACAGACGAGCAUGCG